rnacentral:lncRNA from 1 species
AGCUUGGACUGGGAGAACUGGGAGCACUGGGAGCAGGGGGCUGAGGGGACGGGGACUGGGAGCGGGGACUGGGAGCGCUGGGAACAGGAAGCGGUGUUGCUGGGAAGAGGAAUGGGGAGACUGGAAGCAGGCACUGGGAGGUACUGGGAGCACUGGGGGUGAGGGACGGGGUUACUGGGAGCAGGGACUGGGGGAGCACGGGGGGCUGGGACUGGGAGUACGGGACUGGGGGUACUGGGGGUACUGGGCGCAGGGACCGGGGGUGGAGGCUCGAGAGGGAGCUGCAGGGAGGCACUGGGAGCACUGGGGGGCAGCACUGGGAGCUCCGGAGGAUAGCACUGGGAUGCUAUGGGACGGCACUGGGAGCACUGGAGAUAGCACUGGUCACCAUGGGAUGCUGUGGGACGGCACUGGGUGGCGCUGGGGUGCUGUGGGACUGCACUGAGAGAGCACUAGUCAUACUGGGAGCUGUGGGACAGCACAGGAUGGGAGUACUGGGAGCACUGGGAUGCUGCGGGGCAGCACUGGAGCACUGGGAUGCUAUGGGACAGCACUGGGAGCACUGGGGAGCACCACUGGCAUGCUAUGGGGCAGCACAAGAGCACUGGGAUGCUGUGGGGCAUCACUGGGAGCACUGGGAUGCUAUGGGACUUCACUGGGAGCACUGGGAUGCUAUGGGGCAGCACUGGGAGCACUGGGAGCACAACUGGGAUGCAAUGGGGCAGCACUGGGAGCACCACUGGGAUGCUGUGGGGCAGCCAGUGGGUGCUGAGGGCCCCCCCUCUCGCCCAGGCCCCCCCCCCCCGCCAUGCCCGUGCCGUGGGGCUGACCACGCCGUGGGUCGGAGCCGUGGGUCGGAGCCGUGGGGCGCCCCAUGCUCCCGCGGGCGCUGCGGGCGCUGCUGGAGGGGGCCCGGCCCCCCCUGGGCCAGGAGCCGGGGGUGGUGCUCAGCUCCUACCGGCCCUGCCCCCCCGACGAGGACCCCCCCCNNNNNNNNNNNNNNNNNNNNNNNNNNNNNNNNNNNNNNNNNNNNNNNNNNNNNNNNNNNNNNNNNNNNNNNNNNNNNNNNNNNNNNNNNNNNNNNNNNNNCCGCUGGGGGUGAUGGGUGUUUUUGGGGGGCAGUGGGUUCAGGUGGGUGCCAUUAGGGGCAGUGGGUGCUGUUGGGUGCCACUGGGGGGUGAUGGGUGCCAUUGGGUGGUGAUGAGUGCCGUUGGGUGUUGGGUGCCCUUGGGGAGCAAUGGGUGCCAUUGGGGGUCAAUGAUGUCAUCUGGGGGGGCAAUGGGUGCUGUUGAGUGCCAUUGGGGGGCGAUGGGUGCCAUUGGGUGGUGAUGGGUGCUGUUGGGUGCUGGGUGCCCUUGGGGAGCAAUGGGUGUCAUUGGGGGUCAAUGACAUCAUCUGGGGGGGCAAUGGGUGCUGUUGGGUGCCACUGGGGGGCAAUGGGUACCAUUGGGUGGUGAUGGGUGCCAUUGGGGGGCUAUGGGUGCCAUUGGGGAGCAACGGAUGCCAUUGGGUGGUGAUGGGUGGUGUUGGGUGCCAUUGGGGGUCAAUGGGUGCCAUUGGGGGUCCAUGACGUCAUCUGGGGGGGGCAGUGGGUGCUGUUGGGUGCCAUUGGGUGUCAAUGGGUACCAUUGGGGGGUGAUGGGUGCCAUUGGGUGCUGAGUGCCAUUGGGGGUCAACGGGUGUCAUUGGGGGUCAAUGGGGGUCAAUGUGGGUCAUUUGGGGUCAAUGACAUCAUCUGGGGGGGCAAUGGGUGCUGUUGGGUGCCAUUGGGGGUCAAUGGGUGCCAUUGGGGGUCAAUGACAUCAUCUGGAGGGGUGGUGGGUGCUGUUGGGUGCCAUUGGGGGUCAAUGGGUGCCAUUGGGUGGUGAUGGGUGCCAUUGGGGGGCGAUGGGUGCCAUUGAGUGGUGCUGGGUGCCGUUGGGUGCUGGGUGCCAUUGGGGGUCAAUGGGGGUCAAUGACAUCAUCUGGGGGGGCAGUGGGUGCUGUUGGGUGCCAUUGGGGGUCAAUGGGUGCCACUGGGGGCCUAUGGGUGCCAUGGGGCGAUGGUACCACCCGAUGCCACCACGCGGUGCCACCACCCGGUGCCCUGGCCCCGCGGCGCAGGCGGAGGUGCGCGAGGACGACGCCGUCUUCACCCUGGCCCCCCGGCCCGGGGCGCCCCCCGCCCGCCUGCUGCGCGCCGCCCCCCUGCCCCGCCUGGUGCGGCACCUGCUGGAGGCCCCCGCCCGCGGGGACGGAGCCUUCGUCCCCACCUUCCUCGCCACCUUCCGUGCCUUCACCCAGCCCCACGACGUCCUGCGCCUGCUGCUCGCCAGGUGGGGGCGCGGGG